rnacentral:rRNA from 1 species
AGACCCGAAACCCGGUGAUCUAGCCAUGGGCAGGUUGAAGGUUGGGUAACACUAACUGGAGGACCGAACCGACUAAUGUUGAAAAAUUAGCGGAUGACCUGUGGCUGGGGGUGAAAGGCCAAUCAAACCGGGAGAUAGCUGGUUCUCCCCGAAAGCUAUUUAGGUAGCGCCUCGUGAAUUCAUCUCCGGGGGUAGAGCACUGUUUCGGCUAGGGGGCCAUCCCGGCUUACCAACCCGAUGCAAACUGCGAAUACCGGAGAAUGUUAUCACGGGAGACACACGGCGGGUGCUAACGUCCGUCGUGAAGAGGGAAACAACCCAGACCGCCAGCUAAGGUCCCAAAGUCAUGGUUAAGUGGGAAACGAUGUGGGAAGGCCCAGACAGCCAGGAUGUUGGCUUAGAAGCAGCCAUCAUUUAAAGAAAGCGUAAUAGCUCACUGGUCGAGUCGGCCUGCGCGGAAGAUGUAACGGGGCUAAACCAUGCACCGAAGCUGCGGCAGCGAACGUAUCACUUAAAGCGAUUCAGCGGGUUACGAUUGACGGAGCGAAGCGACGUCAAAGCGUAUACAAAGUCGAGUCGGUUUAAGGAUACGUUCGUUGGGUAGGGGAGCGUUCCGUAAGCCUGCGAAGGUGGCCUGUGAGGGUUG